rnacentral:rRNA from 1 species
UACGGAGGGUGCGAGCGUUAAUCGGAAUAACUGGGCGUAAAGGGCACGCAGGCGGUGACUUAAGUGAGGUGUGAAAGCCCUGGGCUUAACCUGGGAAUUGCAUUUCAUACUGGGUCGCUAGAGUACUUUAGGGAGGGGUAGAAUUCCACGUGUAGCGGUGAAAUGCGUAGAGAUGUGGAGGAAUACCGAAGGCGAAGGCAGCCCCUUGGGAAUGUACUGACGCUCAUGUGCGAAAGCGUGGGGAGCAAACAGG